CACUGCUACUGGUGUUUUGUGAGUGAGCUCAGGAUCGGGGUUGCUGAUGUAUGGGGCACCUGGUGUGGAUAUGAAGACAGUGUCUGGUGCUACAUGUGAAGGCAUGACUGAGCUGAAAAUUGAAGGUCAAUGCUUUCAUCAUCCUGUUCCUUGGUAUACCUUGGGAUAUAGAUUAUGUCUUCAGGAAAUGGACUUCAAACUCCACACCAUCAGGACAGUAUCUGCCCAUAUGGGAAACUUGGUUGUCUCUCUCGCAGUUAAUGAUGCUGUCACAUUAUGCUAGAGAAAUCUUUUCAUAUUGGAAGAUGGGGUGUGGACAACGAGUAACAUGAGUUUGGCAUUCUGUAUCAGGAAAUGAUUUUUCUGCCCUAGGAAGGAAGGGAGUAGUAGACACUGAAAUAACAGAUCCUGUCUCUGUUCUAUCACUCAAAUAAAUUAUUUUGCUUUUCUCUCUUCCCAUAAGAGCUGUAUCUUUAGCAAUGUACCAAGUGUCUUGACAUGUAUCUGAAGAGCUAACACUACAUAUGAUUACACUGAACCUAUAUAAAGGCUAUAAUUCAGACUCUAUCCUCACUUG